rnacentral:rRNA from 1 species
GAUCCUGGCUCAGGAUGAACGCUAGCUACAGGCUUAACACAUGCAAGUCGAGGGGGCGAGCAUGGUCUUAGCUUGCUAAGGCCGAUGGCGACUGGCGCACGGGUGAGUAACACGUAUCCAACCUGCCGUCGUACUCUUGGACAGCCUUCUGAAAGGAAGAUUAAUACAAGGAUGGCAUCAUGAGUUCACAUGUUCACAUGAUUAAAGGUAUUCCGGUAGACGAUGGGGA